CAGUCGAGCGAACUGACGAGGAGCUUGCUCCUUUGACGUUAGCGGCGGACGGGUGAGUAACACGUGGGUAACCUACCUAUAAGACUGGAAUAACUCCGGGAAACCGGGGCUAAUGCCGGAUAACAUAUCGAACCGCAUGGUUCGAUAGUGAAAGACGGUCUUGCUGUCACUUAUAGAUGGACCCGCGCCGUAUUAGCUAGUUGGUGAGGUAACGGCUCACCAAGGCAACGAUACGUAGCCGACCUGAGAGGGUGAUCGGCCACACUGGAACUGAGACACGGUCCAGACUCCUACGGGAGGCAGCAGUAGGGAAUCUUCCGCAAUGGGCGAAAGCCUGACGGAGCAACGCCGCGUGAGUGAUGAAGGUCUUCGGAUCGUAAAGCUCUGUUGUUAGGGAAGAACAAAUGUGUAAGUAACUGUGCACAUCUUGACGGUACCUAACCAGAAAGCCACGGCUAACUACGUGCCAGCAGCCGCGGUAAUACGUAGGUGGCAAGCGUUAUCCGGAAUUAUUGGGCGUAAAGCGCGCGUAGGCGGUUUUUUAAGUCUGAUGUGAAAGCCCACGGCUCAACCGUGGAGGGUCAUUGGAAACUGGAAAACUUGAGUGCAGAAGAGGAAAGUGGAAUUCCAUGUGUAGCGGUGAAAUGCGCAGAGAUAUGGAGGACACCAGUGGCCGAAGGCUGCUUUCUGGUCUGUAACUGACGCUGAUGUGCGAAAGCGUGGAGAUCAACAUGAUUAGAUACCCUGGUAGUCCACGCCGUAACGAUGA
rnacentral:rRNA from 1 species